rnacentral:tRNA from 1 species
GUCCUUGUAGCGCAAAGGAUAGCGCGUUGGACUUCCAAUUCAAAGGACGUGGGUUCGAAUUCCAUCUAGGAUA